AAUGUUAUUAGAGUGUUUAAUUCCCUAUUCAUCCCACAGGACUCGGUUUUUUUGACCAGAAAUAACCAAGAAAGCAGUUUGGUGCAGGUCAUCUGGGACACCAUGCAUACUUGAUUGUGAGAGGAUUUUUGUGAAUUCGAACAUCUUCCUUUCAUAAAUGAAGGGAACAGAUCACGUGACUUGUUGACACUCUGAGGUUUGAUGAUUUCUUUUUGUCAUGAGAGCAAUUUCCGGCCGUUAAAAUUAGGUUCAGUUUGGCUCACAGCCCUAGAAAAAAGAAUACUUUUUACCAAAAUUACCAGUUCUACUAGCAGCUAGACUGUUGUCAAUCAAAGAUGACGAAGCCGACCGAGGUGAUGUUUUCGACUCCAGUAAUUGAGUUAAUGUUGGCGAAUCUGUGAACAGAUUUCAGAAUUGAACGAUGUAGUAUGAAAAAACGCACCAUUUCCUUUGAUCUGAAACUCUUCUAUUAAGUUCUCAUGUUCUUGCAACAGACCACAAUUAACAACAGAAAAAUUAUUUUAAUUGUAGAUAGGAGACAGGGUAAAAUUAGAUGAUUAGUGAAGCUGAACAAAUGUAGAUAAAAUAUAGAGUCAAGUCAAAAACAGAAUGACACACAAUUUGUUUUUACUUUUUUUCUCCUUCUUCUCCUUCUCUUAGUUGCUCUCAUGAUUGCUUUGGAGAGACAAUUAAUAUUGAGCAAGUCAAUAUUUGCUGCCACUUGGCAGUGACAAACUUAAAAAAAAGCAUCCCAUGGAGAAUAGGCCUUAAUCUGAGUAUUUAGAGAUCAGAGUUUGAUCUUAACAUUAUAAAAUAUCAAGAUUAAACUCUGGGACACACUCUGCAAGCCUGACAGCAAAAAUUUAGAUCUAAUGAGGAGGGAGUUUUUACCAUUAGAAUAAUGAGGAAUGGCAGGAGCAGAGUUGAGAAGAUUUGAUAUUGUUGGAGUUGAUGAAAGACUGGAUCGCUGGAGAGGUGAUGGAGAUUGAAGCAGACUAGUCAAUAGAGGCGAGGUAGGAGUUGAUGCUGGUUUUGUUUCUUGUGGAAUCUGAAAAGAAAAAUAAAAGAAAUAAGAUUUGGAGAGGUCGUGUGUCGAGUGCGGUUAUCAUAAAAACAUCCUGAUUUGUUAGCACCCUUUUUAAGAAAACUGCAAAAUAGAGUCAGGGAUCUUUCAUACUGACUACAGGCCACUUAAAAGUCAAGGUGUCUUUGAGCUGAUCUUGCAGUAUCACACCCUUCCCCCCUUCCAGUAAACAGGACAGCAGAUUAGUAAUUGAAGGUUCAAUUAUUAGUUCAAAUAUUAGUUAGUAGGCUCCUUUGUGUUUGUCAACUGAACAGGACAAGACAAAGGUGAAAUGGAUUUAUGUGAUUGGUCAGCUGUCACUUGAGCGACCAUUGGCGUCAUUACAAGCUCCUUAUCGAGCUGGAUAAUCGACUAGCU
rnacentral:lncRNA from 1 species